rnacentral:ncRNA from 1 species
UUUUUCGGGGCGGGGUGCAAGUCCCCACUGGCGGUAAAGUCCGCGACCCGGCAUAGCCGGCUGACCCGUUGCAAGUACGGGACCAACAGUAAAGUCUGGAUGGAAGAAGAA